rnacentral:rRNA from 1 species
GAUGAACGCUGGCGGCGUGCCUAAUACAUGCAAGUCGAACGCUGGAGAUCUAGCUUGCUAGAUCGAAGGAGUGGCGAACGGGUGAGUAAUACAUAAGCAACCUACCCACGAAGACUGGGAUAAUCUCUGGAAACGGGGACUAAUACCGGAUAGGUAAUCGGAAGGCAUCUUCUAGUUAUUAAAGGUUAAAAACACUGGUGGAUGGGCUUAUGGCGCAUUAGUUAGUUGGUGAGGUAACGGCCCACCAAGACGAUGAUGCGUAGCCGGCCUGAGAGGGUGAACGGCCACAUUGGGACUGAGACACGGCCCAGACUCCUACGGGAGGCAGCAGUAGGGAAUUUUCGGCAAUGGGGGCAACCCUGACCGAGCAACGCCGCGUGAGUGAAGACGGCCUUCGGGUUGUAAAGCUCUGUUGUAAGGGAAGAACGGUAGAUAGAGAAUAUCUAAGUGACGGUACCUUACCAGAAAGCCACGGCUAACUACGUG